rnacentral:lncRNA from 1 species
AGCUUUUCGCGCGAACUUUUCCUCCGCCAGAGCUUGUGGGACUGUCUCCCUGGCCGGGGCAGGGGUGUAAGGCCUUAGUCUUAGUUUACUCUAUCCCUGGGAUUGGGUAGUGGUGUAACAUCAGCUUAAACACGCUGUGCUGACUUUAUGUAACAGCCACGGUGCGAUACUAAGCCAGGAACCCCAGGAGACUCUCAGACACGGUUCGGGAAUGAGGGUAAUCC